rnacentral:rRNA from 1 species
GUUGAACGCUGGCGGUAUGCCUUACACAUGCAAGUCGAACGGUAGAGGAGCAAUCCUCGAGAGUGGCGAACGGGUGAGUAAUACAUCGGAACGUGCCCAGUCGUGGGGGAUAACGUAGCGAAAGCUACGCUAAUACCGCAUACGACCCGAGGGUGAAAGCGGGGGACUCGCAAGAGCCUCGCGCGAUUGGAGCGGCCGAUGGCAGAUUAGGUAGUUGGUGGGGGUAAAGGCCCACCAAGCCUGCGAUCUGUAGCUGGUCUGAGAGGACGACCAGCCACACUGGGACUGAGACACGGCCCAGACUCCUACGGGAGGCAGCAGUGGGGAAUUUUGGACAAUGGGCGAAAGCCUGAUCCAGCCAUACCGCGUGCGGGAAGAAGGCCUUCGGGUUGUAACCGCGUUUGUACGGUACGAAACGGCGAGCUCUAAUACAG